AGAGAGAGACAUGCGCGCAUAUCAAUAAGCGGAGGAAAAGAAACUAACAAGGAUUCCCUUAGUAACGGCGAGUGAAGCGGGAAGAGCUCAAAUUUGAAAUCUUCAAGGUUUUACCUUGACGAAUUGUAGUUUAAAGAAGUGUUUUCUGCUGAAGUUUUGGUAAAAGUUCUUUGGGAAUAGGACAUCAUAGAGGGUGAGAAUCCCGUAUUUGACCAUUAUUUUCAGCUUUGUGAUACACUUUCAAAGAGUCGGAUUGUUUGGGAAUGCAGUCCAAAAUGGGUGGUAAAUUUCAUCUAAAGCUAAAUAUUGGCGAGAGACCGAUAGCGAACAAGUACCGUGAGGGAAAGAUGAAAAGAACUUUGAAAAGAGAGUUAAACAGUACGUGAAAUUGUCAAAAGGGAAGCGUUUGACACCAGUGUUGUUUUCUCGAAAAUCAAUUAAAAAUGGCUCGAUCUUUGUAUUGUUGAGACCUUAAAAGCUCACUGUACAUUUUUCGUGUCUUUUUUAAUGCACUUUUCGUUCAACAAGUCAACAUCAAUUUCUUUUGUUGUAAAAGGGUCAUUGGAAGGUGGCUUUCUUUUCGGAGAGAAGUGUUUAUAGCCUUUGGCCUCUGCAAUCGAAGAGACUGAGGUCUGCAGCGUAGACUCUUCGGGGUUAGAUACAUUUGUGCUAAGUUAUAGCUUUUUAUAGACAACUUGUUGACUAUAAUUAGUCUUGUAGCUUACUCGCUUAUGCUAUUUUACCUACGCUUAGGAUGUUGAAGAUGUAGCACAUCAU
rnacentral:rRNA from 1 species